rnacentral:lncRNA from 1 species
GGAGACCUACAUCGUACCGCGAGUUUGUCCGCGACUUUUGGAUUUCGCACGACUGACUUGUUCACCAAAGCUAGAACAAGUGCAACACAAUCACAUGUCCCGUGUUUGAAAAUUUGCGAUUGUGACACUUAUGGCCCUCGAUUUAUAGAUGGUUGGACUUGGGAUCGGAGGAAAUGCUAUUUCAGGUCGACCAUAGCGACUAAAAUCA